UACGUAGGUGGCAAGCGUUGUCCGGAAUUAUUGGGCGUAAAGCGCGCGCAGGCGGUCCUUUAAGUCUGAUGUGAAAGCCCACGGCUCAACCGUGGAGGGUCAUUGGAAACUGGGGGACUUGAGUGCAGAAGAGGAAAGUGAAAUUCCACGUGUAGCGGUGAAAUGCGUAGAGAUGUGGAGGAACACCAGUGGCGAAGGCGACUUUCUGGUCUGUAACUGACGCUGAGGCGCGAAAGCGUGGGGAGCAAACAGG
rnacentral:rRNA from 1 species